rnacentral:lncRNA from 1 species
GUGGGGAUGCAGCGAGCCACCCGACAGAUCAUCCGCUGAGGGUACUGGCUCCUGGCCAGGCUCUGAAAGUGAGAGCCAGAGGACCAAGGGUUCACACAGGUGCCAAGAUUGGAAAGUUCCAGCACACGAUACGCCUGAGGAAGGUGGGUACAAGCGGGAGGCUCCCAGCAGCUCUGUGGGUGGGGAGAGCACCGAAACAGGCCUGCAUCACCGCUGGAGGGUGUACACGGUGUCCAGCUCUUGAGUGUAGGAGAGAGCUCUCAGCAUACGUUUCUCCAGGUCAGUGCUUCUCAAAGCACGACCUCCAGCCCGCAGUAUCACAGCUUCGGGUCUCCUAGAAAUGCAGGAGGCUCAGGGCUGCCUCAGACCUAAGGAAUCGGGAAAUCAGCGUGGACCUAAAUCAGCAGCGUGCGAGAACAUGCCCUCCACGCAGCCACUCCGCGUCCUCUCCCCCAGCCCGCACAGUGGUGCCGGGGUCUCCUGCUAAGACCUCUCAGCCAAGCCCACCUGCCCGGGCUGAUAACAGAGUCUGCCUCCCCCACGGGCACUGACAGCGGAUUCAUGUGCUCGGGUGUGCAGCUGCCUUAAAUCUUCCGGGAACGAGGCAAGGAACAAACAUAUAAAUAACGCCGCGUGCUUUGUGGCCGUGAUGGGCCUCGCCACGAGCCGCAAGCCGUGAAGUGCAGCUGGCGGAGGAAAGCCAUCCCAACGCUCCCUAGGUUCCCUGCCUGAGAAAACAUAAAAAUCACCCCCGAUGCCCACCCCCACACCCCCAGCUACGGAUGCCACCGUGAGGGCCUGGCAGAAUGAGCACAAC